CGGGAAUUUUGGGCAAUGGGCGAAAGCCUGACCCAGCAGCGCCGCGUGAAGGAUGAAAUCCUUCGGGAUGUAAACUUCGCAAGAACAGGAAGAAUAAGCCGGUGACAACACCACCGGUGAUGACGGUACUGUUUGUAAGCUCCGGCUAACUCCGUGCCAGCAGCCGCGGUAAUACGGGGGGAGCAAGCGUUGUUCGGAUUUACUGGGCGUAAAGGGCGCGUAGGCGGCCACUGCAAGUCGAUUGUGAAAUCUCCGGGCUUAACCCGGAAAGGUCAGUCGAUACUGCAGGGCUAGAGUGCAGAAGGGGCAACCGGAAUUCUCGGUGUAGCGGUGAAAUGCGUAGAUAUCGAGAGGAACACCUGCGGCGAAGGCGGGUUGCUGGGCUGACACUGACGCUGACAGCGCGAAAGCUAGGGGAGCGAAC
rnacentral:rRNA from 1 species